UUUCCGUAGGUGAACCUGCGGAAGGAUCAUUAUUGAAAUAAACCUGAUAGAUUGUUGCUGGUUCUCUAAGGAGCAUGUGCACGCCUUGUCAUCUUUAUCUCUCCACCUGUGCACUUUUUGUAGACCGUUCAGGUCUAAGUUUGCUAAUUUUACCCCAAUGUAUGUCGAUAGGAUGUUGUGCCUUUAUAAUGUAUACAACUUUCAGCAACGGAUCUCUUGGCUCUC
rnacentral:misc_RNA from 1 species